UACAGAGGGUGCAAGCGUUAAUCGGAAUUACUGGGCGUAAAGCGUGCGCAGGCGGUUUGCUAAGACAGGUGUGAAAUCCCCGGGCUUAACCUGGGAACUGCGCUUGUUACUGGCAAGCUUGAGUGUGGCAGAGGGGGGUGGAACUCCACGUGUAGCAGUGAAAUGCGUAGAGAUGUGGAGGAACACCGAUGGCGAAGGCAGCCCCCUGGGCUAACACUGACGCUCAUGCACGAAAGCGUGGGGAGCAAACAGG
rnacentral:rRNA from 1 species